rnacentral:rRNA from 1 species
AGGAGAGUUUGAUCAUGGCUCAGAGUGAACGCUGGCGGCGUGCUUAACACAUGCAAGUCGAACGAGAACGGACUAUAGCUUGCUAUAGUUGUCAGCUAAGUGGCGCACGGGUGAGUAAUAUAUAGGUAAUGUGCCCUAGAGAGGGGGAUAACAUUUGGAAACGAAUGCUAACACCCCAUAUGCCUCUAAAACAUAAGUUUGCGAGGGAAAUAUUUAUAGCUCUAGGAUCGGCCUGUACGGUAUCAGCUUGUUGGUGAGGUAAUGGCUCACCAAGGCUAUGACGCCUAACUGGUUUGAGAGGAUGAUCAGUCACACUGGAACUGAGACACGGUCCAGACUCCUACGGGAGGCAGCAGUGGGGAAUAUUGCACAAUGGGGGAAACCCUGAUGCAGCAACGCCGCGUGGAGGAUGACACAUUUCGGUGCGUAAACUCCUUUUAUAUAGGAAGAUAAUGACGGUACUAUAUGAAUAAGCGCCGGCUAACUCCGUGCCAGCAGCCGCGGUAAUACGGAGGGCGCAAGCGUUACUCGGAAUCACUGGGCGUAAAGAGCGUGUAGGCGGGUUAAUAAGUUUGAAGUGAAAUCCUAUGGCUCAACCAUAGAACUGCUUUGAAAACUGUUAACCUAGAAUAUGGGAGAGGUAGAUGGAAUUUCUGGUGUAGGGGUAAAAUCCGU